GCCAAUGUAGCUCAGCGGUAGAGCACUCGCUUCGUAAGCGAGCGGUCGGGGGUUCGAUUCCCCCCAUUGGCUCCA
rnacentral:tRNA from 1 species